GGUUGUAGCUCAGUGGUAGAGCACUUGCCUAGCAUGCAUGAAGCCCUGAGUUCAUUCCUCAGCAUCA
rnacentral:tRNA from 1 species